UAUGAAUUAAGUUUUACACAUAAUUAAAUUUAAUAUUUUUAUAUUAUUUAAAAAUAUAAAUUAGUCAACAAUAUUAAUUUUUUAUUAAUUUUUUAUAUUAAAUUAUGUAUAUUAAAUAUAAUUACUUUAAACCUCACAGUUAAAUAAUUAAUUAAAAAAUAAAAUAAAUUAUUUAACUGAAAAAUACCAAAUUCCCUCCCCCAAUUUCCCAUUACCCGCUCGCCUGCGCCGAGGCACUCCCAAAUUCCCAAAUUCCCUCCCCCAAUCUUACUCUCUCUCUGUGAACCCUUCUCGAUCUCUGUCUCUCCUUCUCCCUCGCGUCGCUAGCCCUCGCCCCCUCGCUCGCUCUCGCCCUCCCCUCACUCGAUCGAGGUCGCCCUCGGCCGCUCGCCCGCGCGUUGCUAGCCCUCGGACCCUCGCUCACUCUCGCCCUCUCCUCGCUCGAGCUCGCCCUCAGCCGUUCGCCCGCCGUCGCUCGCCCUCGAGCCCUCGCCCACCGUCGCUUACGCUCGCCCUUGGCCCUUCGGUCGCCGUCGCUAACUCGCUCUUGCCUCUCGCAGUUCCUCAGAUGAACAGGGAGUUAUAAAAUAAGAAAAACUACGGGUUAAGGAUGUUUGGCUGCUUGCACAUGGAAGGCGUGUCAUGUUAGAGUUUAAUGACACGCUCCAACCCAUAGGAGAUACAGCGGGACUAUUUGGAGGGAUUUUAGGGGAGCUAGCUUCUGAUUUUGUCGCUUUUCCUGUCAAUUACGAAAGCUGGCAUAAAGUUCCCAACGCAUAUAAAGAUGAAAUUUACAAAAAUAGAGUCAUGGAAAAAUUUAAUGUUGACGAAGGAUAUGUGAAGAAUUUCAUUUUGAGAAACAUCGAAAAAAAAUGGAAGGAUAAUAGAUGCAAGUUAUACCACGAGUACUAUGAUCCCACUAUUGGUCGAGAGGCAAAUCUUGUAAAACAUCCACCGAAAAUCUCACAAGACCAGUGGGCAAGUUUCAUUGAUUAUCGUGCACGCGAAAAAAACUAAGGAGAUGUGUUUACAAAAUAGUGAAAAUCGAUCCAAAUUGACAAUCCCACACACUGGAGGAUCAAAGAGUCUGGCAAGAAAAAAACAUGAGAUGGAAAUUGAGAGUGGUCAGCUAGUGAGUAGGGGUUCAUUAUACAUCGUGACACAUAAGAAGAAAGACGGAUCUUUUAUGAAUGAAGGAGCACGAACUAUAAGCGACAAAAUUUUUGACAUUGAGAGUCAAGGCACAUCUCCAUAGUCAGUCUCCUUACAUGAUUCACUUGCUCAAGUGCUAGGAAAAGAACACUCAGGCCGAGUCCGAGGUUUGGGAUUUGGUCCGAGUCCAGAUCAAGUUUUUGGGACCGUUAGUCAAUUGAAUGGGAGAUCUUCGUCUUCCAAUAAUACCAGUCCAUCAUAUCAAGAACAAGUGAACUUUUUGACAGAAAAAUUACAAACUAAUAAACAAAAGGUUCAAAGUUUAGAGUCACAACUGCAAAAUUUUCAAGGUGUAAUGAGUUUUCUUUUGACAAACGUUGUGGCAAAUAUACCACCUGAGAUUGUUGCGAUGCUCAAUUCAAUGUACCAGAUGCAAAUAGUGGACAAGCUUCACCAGCGGGAAGGCGGUCUUCGAUAUCUAGUCAUAAUGUUCAUGAUCCACCACAACCUCCAGACCAACAAAAUUGAUGUACUGUUAAAAUAUUUGAACAACUUGACUUCUAAACUUUUUAAAUUUCAUUUUGAUAUGUAAGUCUAUUUUGAUUGGACUUUGAUAUGUUACAUGUUUGGAUAUUUAAGUUGGAAUCUUUGUAGUUUGUUGAUUAAAUAGAUAGAGAUAUUGUG